rnacentral:lncRNA from 1 species
GGCAGGGGCAGGUCAGCCUUGAGGAAAGUUUAGUGUUUUGGCUAAGUGUCAUUCCUCUGCCCCGCUCCAGUCUAACCCAUGGAGCUUUCCCUGACUAUCUGUCUUGGAGUAUUUUAGGAAGCUGUCAUUGUGGUAUUGAAGUGCCACUUGUUUAGUGCAGUUGGGAUGAGACAGAGCUGAAGUUCUCUAUUGAUCUGCAGAAGAAAAAUAGCCUCAGCAGCAGGGGGUAUAGCAUUGCUGGCAGCAGCACAGCCUGCCUGGGAGGAGGUGGGGAUGCUGAGAACCUGGCUCCUCACCCCUGUGGAUGCACACACGCCAGAGAGGACCUGGCCAAGGGCAAGACAGAUUUGAAACAGGAAUUACUGAGCUCUGAGUCUGUUUUUGUAUAGCUCUUGGUAUCACGGAGAGCAGAUUAGCUGUCAGCACCUCAGUAUGGAUGCACCAGGGUCUGCCAGUCCUGCCCUGCCAUUCCCCCUCAGCCAUCAAGCCUUUCUCUCUGGUGGUGGCAAAGUCUACUGUUGUUAAUUCACAAUGGAAGUCAAGUGACAAUGGAUCUUACCUACCUUGUGAGCUACACGAGAUUCAGCUGGAAAUUAUGACUUAGAAAUAAAGCUUCAUAUCUCCUUCUGUCUAACAACCUGAUGUCUAGUGCUGCUCUCCUCCUCAGAGCAGCUUGACAACAAAGGCAAAACCUGGCCAAGAUGCAGGUUCAUCUUUUGGAAACUGUGAAACUCCUGCAAAGUGUACAUCCUUUGCAGGAUCUACUCCUGUCUCUCCUGUCUGCCAGCUGCAAAGAAGUUCAGGAGUGGCCUCCUGAGGGAUCUGCUGUGAGACAGAUGGAAUUUCAUCAUUACGAGUGCCAUAAACCAUCACUGAUUGCUGGUGGAGAACUUCACCUGGCCCAGAGCAGCACUGUCGGCAGCAGCAGUGGAGGAAACUGAAAGGCUGAAAAGAUGGGUAUUUAUAAAUACCCGAAUCAACUGAGCUGGCCAACCAUAAAAUGGAAAAACUCAAUGAAAGAGCAGCUCAUUUUAUAGCAAAAUUUGCAUGUGAGCUAGCCCAGAGUCAUUUAUGCUUCAAGAUGGGAUGUGCAGACAAAAAAAGCAAU